GGCAUUGUAAACUGUCACGGCGCUGGUGGGAGUGUAGCAGUUGAGGAGGACCACAGGUCACUCUCAUGGCCAUUUUGGUUUUGGCCUCUGACAUUAUGGGCUGUUAAUAUCUGAGACAGAACAAAGACAUCAGGAAUAUGAUCCAUACACUUCAGACAGCUUCUUCAUUGCAUGAAAAUGGAGCCAAACAAGCAAAGAUCUGGUAUGACCUCAGCUUUGCUCCUGGAAUCACCUUCUGCCCAGUUCACACAUUCCUGGCAUGUCUUUCAUUCUCUUGGGGAAGAGAGCAAGUGGAGUUGCCAGGUUACUGUUGAUGAAGGGCAAUUUUUAGAAGCAGAAAGUCAGCAUCCUGUGCUGGAUGAUUCAUCUUGCCCUCUGGGGCAUGCUCUGAAUGUUAAACAGUAACUAUUUGUUGGUGAUUAAUCUGUUGGAUUUUGCUCAACCCCUAAUUCGAGUGUCCAUGAUGGAUAGAUCACUUUUUUCUUUACACUACUUGUCAAGUAUAAAACAGAUGGAUAACAUUUCCCUUCCAACUGAUUCAGAAAAAUAUGUUUUUUGGUAUUAAACUGUAAAAACAAAAUGUAUGUUUACUAAAUUAGGUGAAAGUAGGGCUGAACUUUCAACUUUCUAGAUCAACCAUUACAAUAUGAAAUUUGCCCCUAAACCCUGAAAGUUUUGGAAUAUGAGAAACGGGACCGAGAAAUGUGUGAGUCCCAUUUUUCAGCCUUUUCCUCCUUUUGCUCAGCAGACACUGAAUAUAAUCCACAGGCAGUACAGACUUAUUCUUCCAAAGGAUUUAUUAUGUAAUCUUGUACAAGCCUCAACUUUUCUCAUUUAUAAAAUGGGAAAAAUAUCUUCCUUACCCAAUUGUUGAGUGAACUGUGAAACAUCCAUAUGUAUUAUUGUGUAUCAGUACAUAUAUGCUAUUUUUGUAGUAGGCCUCCAGAAAAUGGAGGCUAUAUACUGUUUCAUUUCUUAAAAGGAUACUUUCACUUGGUUCAAAGUUCAAAAGAUAGUUAUAUAUUGUAUUUCUUGAAAUCUUUUCACUUCUGUUCCCAGCCACACAAUUUCCCUCCAUGAUCCAUGUUUCUUUUGCAUCUUGCCAGAUAUUUUAUGUACGUCUAAAAGUAAAAACGUAUUUUCCCCACUUUAACAAUUUUACAUAAAAUCACACUAUUGCUUGUUUUGCCUUUUAAAAUAAAAAUACAUUUUUGAAAUUG
rnacentral:lncRNA from 1 species